GCAGUCAGUGGUCGGGUAUAAAGCUGAGGAAUUGCAGCUGAGAACGGGUCACCUGAAAGACAAAGUCAGAAGGAUGGAAAUGCACACACGCUGACAGAUGAAAGCCCCAAGAGCUGAGAGUGAGAGACACCAGGGACACAAUAAAGAGAUCCGGAUUAUGUGAUAUUCUGAGGACAGAGACUUGAGCGGGAGCAGUAUUUGAGGGAAUGGCAGAGACUUACAAAAUUCAUGAAAGGAAUCAAGUCACAUAUUCUAGGACCUCAGGGGGAUUUGUUUUAAAAGGAGAUCUAGUCAUAAAAAACUACUACUGAAAAAAAGAAAAAGAAAAAGAACCAAAGGCAAACAUCAAGAUCUGCUGCAGAAUAUGUUUCUAUGUCUUCAAAAAUAAUCAUCCACAGCUCUGGUUUUACAGGCCGGAAUUGACUGACUACCAAAAAGAAAUGAAUGGCCCAGCUAAUACCGCAAGAGAAUGGAUAGAUGGCUUCAAGCUGUGGUGGAUAUGAAAACUUUCAUGAAGGAAGUUGGAAUCAAACUGAGCCUCACAUCUGAGUAAUAAUCAUCAGAGCUAUGUGUGGCCACCAGCAUCCUGUGCCUCAGAUACGUACCUCUUUAGACAACAGCAAGAAUCCUCAUAGGGUUGGUACUGUUGCCUCCAUUUUGCAGAAGAGAAAACCAAGACUCAUUAAGAUCGUGUAAUGUGGCUCAGAAUCAGGAUUCAGACUCAAGCUCACCCCAUAACCUAUUGCAUGGCUACUUGGGGUGCCAUAAAAGGCCUCAGUAAAAAUGCAUGGUGGCUGGCUGUACCAAGCAUACUGUAGUGGCUGAGAGAUCAGUUAGAGCCCUCAAGAUGGAAAUUUCUGGAGAACAGAAUGGUACAGCUGUACAAGUAAAUGGAGCCUGCUCUGCCUAGAGUCACCAAAUUAUAAGUAGCAGGUGCUAUUGUAGAGCUGAAUUAAAGAGGACGGAACCAUUCGAUUCAAAAUAUUUCUCUCUGCCCUAUGUGUGGCUCAUCAGCGCUGAAUUCCUAUUGAAGAAAAGCACCAGACCUCCAGGAGUCUCCAUUCUGAACCCAGAGUAAUCUACAUUUGAUUUUGCAUACGUUUGCAUAUCAAAUUCGAAAGCUCCCCCCCCCUUGAUUAUAUACGAUGUUAAUUAAUUGACUAGUGCAUCCUCUAGCAGUUUCCCCUCCCGUGCCUCCUCAGCCUGGUACCCACCUAAGGUGCAUACUUCUCACCACAGGGAGAAUCAGAGGCCAGCCUGGCAGAAAACAGUUGGCACCGCUGCUCAUCAGCCCCUGCUCGAAGGCUUUGGAGAAGAAAGCCUGCCCAACCUUGUCCAGAAGAGUGACAGUGAGCACCUGCCCUCAUGAUCCCUGCCCGCCCUCCCUGCAGCUCAGAGGCAGAGAGGAAGCGUCCCGAAGCCCUUGCAGUUUAAAUGAUAACUUAGGAGACAAAGGAGGUGGGGGAGAAAAGUAGCUUGAAUCACCUACAGAAACAAAAGAAGGGCCAAAGAUAGAAGCGAGAAGAAGGACACCACAGCCAAAUUGGGCUCUGGGAAGGCUUUCAACUCUUUUAUCUUUUCUUUGUUCGUCAGCCCGUUGAAAACUACUACAGACCCAAAGCCCUAGCAUCAUGGGAAAUGAACAGUGCCCCUCACCUGGAAGGAGACUGCAAGCUCCCUAAAGUAUGGUGGAAAGGACCGUCCUGUAUGACACCCACAUCAGUUCCUGAAUUCCUCUCUGGCAUGCCCCACCUACAUUCUCAAAUGUGUCUCUUAUCAGACAGACUGCAUACUCUACCCAGGCAGCAGAGGUCUGUUGUCCAGAGUUGGCAAAAUCGAGGACUCUCCAUUGCUAGGAAGCUAGGUAUGACAGGACACGCCAGUGCACAGUUUCCUAAAAACUGAAAAGGGUCACCCUUUUAGCAUCUAAAAUGCCUCCCUCCUCAGCUCAUUUUUGGAAUGUAAGAAUGGCAUCAAAAUGCUGCCUCCCUUUGAGUUCAGAGAACAAUUGCAUAGACCAAUGAAAUAAUUUUAUCAAAUAGGGGCUGAUAUACAGAGAAAAGCGGGUUCAUUCUCGCCCUCAAAUAACAUCAUGCCUGCAGA